rfam:Asian citrus Psyllid, Diaphorina citri - Florida Strain, whole genome shotgun sequence.
GCCAGCGAAGCUAGCAUGUUGAAUGCACCGGUCCCCAAAGGAUCUCUGUAGUUAAGGAACGUUGAGCGUGGUUGGUAUCCGAAUCGGUGACCAGCUUUACAAUUUCGUGCUGCUGGCU